rnacentral:rRNA from 1 species
GUUAGGAAUAUUGGACAAUGGGCGCAAGCCUGAUCCAGCCAUGCCGCUUGAGUGAUGAAGGCCUUCGGGUUGUAAAGCUCUUUAGCCGAUGAUUAUAAUGACUGUAGUCGGAAAAUAAGCCCCGGCUAACUUCGUGCCAGCAGCCGCGGUAAUACGAAGGGGGCGAGCGUUAUUCGGAAUCACUGGGCGUAAAGCGUGCGUAGGCGGCUUUGCAAGUUGGGAGUGAAAGCCCAGGGCUCAACCCUGGAAUUGCUCUCAAAACUGCAAGGCUCGAAUUCGGGAGAGGAUAGCGGAAUUGUCAGUGUAGCAGUGAAAUGCGUAGAUAUUGACAGGAACACCAGUGGCGUAAGCGGCUAUCUGGACCGAUAUUGACGCUGAGGCACGAAAGCGUGGGGAUCAAACAGGAUUAGAAACCCUAGUAGUCC